GGGGAUAACUAGUCGAAAGAUUAGCUAAUACCGCAUACCGCCCUGAGGGGAAAGUAGGGGAUCUUCGGACCUUACGUUAUAAGAGCGGCCGAUAUCUGAUUAGCUAGUUGGUGGGUAAUGGCCUACCAAGGCGACGAUCAGUAGCUGGUCUGAGAGGACGACCAGCCACACUGGAACUGAGACACGGUCCAGACUCCUACGGGAGGCAGCAGUGGGAAUUUUGGACAAUGGGCGCAAGCCUGAUCCAGCCAUUCCGCGUGAGUGAAGAAGGCCUUCGGGUUGUAAAGCUCUUUCGCAAGGGAAGAAAACUUACACAAUAACACUGUCGUGACGGCUGACGGUACCUUGAUAAGAAGCACCGGCUAACUACGUG
rnacentral:rRNA from 1 species